UGGGUCAUCGUGACGUGGAUCUGUGCCGUGGAAGUCUGGAAUGUUUCAAGGAAUACCUAUAAAAGGACGAGAAAGACGGACAACGGGGGCUUCUUACGACCUCACUGCUGCUUUGGGAAACGUUGCUUGGAACACUAACUAUACACGGGCGCCUGUUGCCUUUUGCUUCUGGACCCGGUAGAACUUUCGUAAACUUGGAAUACCCGCUGGAAGGAACAUUUACUCGUUGGGAAAUAUUCGUUCGACGUUGGUGAUUAUUCGCCGUUUUGGCCCAACUACUCUGUUCUUGUACUUCUAUUUUGUGUUAGCUAUUUUGUCGUGUUUUAGUUGUGUUGAGCAAAGGGGACGUUAGUCUAAAUUCACACGAAACAAAAUAUCCAUACAAUUAAAAAAAACAUUUAGCUUUGCUAAGGUACUAUAUAUUCGAUUCAUAAAUACUUUCCUGCUAGUUUUUACACUGAUUUUGAUAUUGUGGGGAUGUAGCAAAUAAGAUGAGAAAACGUGAAGCAGUCACUGAGUUUUCACAUCAAACAGCCAACCACGCCAUUUGAAGCCAACAUCUCUCUCAUCUCUUACAGAUACACGCCCCUGUUGAAUGUCUCCCUCGUGUGGGUCACCGCCAAUAUCAAAAUUACGCACCCCUUAUCCAUUCCCUGAAUACCGUGAUAUGAAUUUGAGGCCACAUCACCCACAGCCGCCCUAACUGGGGGGGCCACACGAGCACGGGCAAAGGCUGAGACUUGUGCUCCGCGUCCUUUGACAAAGGGCAUUUUCCUGCCCUGAAGAAAGAGAAGAAUCUCUGGUGGUUGGAAAAAUUAAGCAAAUGCACAAGACGAAGUGUAAAACUGCAAGGCAGGGUCACGGGGAGUGCUGGAGCAAAUACACGCCCCUGUUGAAUGUCUCCCUCGAGCUGUCAACGGGCCGCAGGCGGGGUACACCCUGAACUGGUCGCCAGCCAAUCGCAAGGCACACAGAGACAGACAGGUAUGCUCACAAUCACACCUAUGGGCAAUUUAGAGAGUCUAAUUAAUGUUGCAUGUUUUUGGGAUGUGGGAGAUAAACCGGAGUGCCCGGAGAAAACCCACGCAGGCACGAGGAGAACAUGCAAACUCCACAGGGAGGGCUGGGAUUGAACCCAGGACUUCAGAACUGUGAGGCCAACGCUUUCUACGUUCUACGCAAUUUACCCAUCUUGUUAUUUCAGUUCUAGAAUCGCAUUUUAUUCGAAGGUGUACCUAAUGAAGUGGCCGAUGCCCACAUGAAGAGACAUGCUAACUACGCUAUAAAUAUGCAAAUAAGCUUGUGUCAACUCGUGAGUACAGCGAAAGUGACAUCGACAAUCGCUGAGACCAAUCAGGACAAACUUAUCCAGUUUACAUAUGUAGUCAAAAAACAUGGGGGGGGGGACGCCGGCGAGGCUUGUCGUACACGUCGCAUUAGCAUGCAGCGUUGUCAGAUUAAAGAGGAUGGAAAAUAAUGCUAAUAGUACAAUAACGAGAUUUAGCGAGUAGCUAUCAAGUCUGCCGGAUGCCAACUCCAAUCUUGAAAACCUUGUAAGUCUGGUCGCUUGUAUCUCGAGUGAUUAUGUUUGAGUGGGUAAAAAUGUGAUUUAUUUACAAAGCGGUUGUGAUAGCAUGCCAGGCGACACAAACUGGCGCCGAAACCGAGUUGCAGCCAGUAAAGCGCUUCAAAAAUAAACUUGUCUUUCCUCUUUGCUAAUUCAAGUGAAAAUCAUCUGUCUCGGAUACGCCGCCAUCGCCUCCGCUGAUCCUGGCUUUUAUUUAAGCCUCUCGCUGGGAUUUACCUGCUAAUGUAAAAAACGAUACCAGACACGGGCAGAAUAUUGUGUUGUGUUUGUGUUCGACUUCUCCUCCAAGGAAGCCCGCUACACGUGGAGUACAAAAAGCGCGUCAAUAAAACGACUUAUUUCACGAGGACGCUUCAGAUGAAUUGGCUGCGACGCAAACGACGGGCUCUGGACGACAACUUUAAUUGGAAAUUCUGUCAGUGCGCGUGCGUCUCUCCUGAUCGAUGGUUUACAUUUGCAUGAAAAAAAAAUACAUUAAUAGUGACAAAUCCAAUUAAUUGCUGACUGUUUAGCAUUAGCAAAACUUGUUCUAAUGACGCUUUGCACCAACAUCGACGCAAAACCUCCACCAAAAUCAUGUACUGUCAUUUAAUUUACACAAUAAAUACAUAAUCGUGAGGUUGUUAUGGAUAUAUCAAAGUCUGCGCCUCCGUUGAACCCCUGACGAGAAAAAAAAGGCUUUAAUUAAUGACAGCUGACGAAUGUGCGUACAUUGGCAGCCCAAACAGUUUAACAAUUAAAAACAAAAAUAUGAGCUGACUGGACAAAGAAGUAGGUCGAUAUUAAACUGCACACUUCUGCAUAUUCAUCUUUGUGGCUGAGCGCUUCCUUCUGCUUUCAAGCAUUACAGCGAUCAGUAUUGAACAAAACAAGAUGACAAAUUUGAAAUAAUUGGACACUCUAAAUUGCCCCUAGGUGUGAUCGUUGUCUGUCUCCAUGUGCCCUGCGAUUGGCCGGCAACCGGGCCAGGGUGUGCCCCGCCUCCUGCCCGAUGACAGCUGGGAUUGGCUCCGGCACUCCCCGCGUCCCUCGUGAGGAUAAGCGGCAAAGAAAAUGGAGGGAUGGAUGAAUGAUUACAUGUAAAUGUAUUGUACUUGGAAGUUAAAUAAAACUAAACUGGAUUCAAUAAA